UCUGCUAAAGGAAAUAGCAGCUUGAGUCGGCACAGGAGGCAGGAACCACUUCAGAGCUGAGGAGCCUCUCCAUGCCUUGGCUUAUUCAUCUCUAAAAGGGGACAAGAGUAGAACUUGACUCUUAGGAAGUGUGAGGGCUGGAUGAGCUACCGUGGGCUGCCCUGAAGGAGGCCUGGCACCAGCAAGAGCAGAAAGAAGGUGGUGGUCCUGGUUUCCAGGUGCUGGGGCUCGCUCGGCCCAGCACAGGGGAUGUCAGGAUUGAACCCACGUUUAAUAGUUGCUCUCUGCUAGCAUAUUGGAGAAAGGAUCGGGGCAAGAGUGCUAAGGCUAAACACAGAGAAAUUGUCAGAGAAAGUUAUUAUAUCCUUCUAUCUGCAAGAGGACCAUAAGGCGAAGCAGCUGGAAUCAGAAAAGCUGAAACUAUUAAGGAGAUUUAGAAGGACUUGGUGACCAGACGGCUGUGGGGAAGCCUCCAAGGAGAGUUGGGGACUCUGGCACCCUGUUUCAGAGAGCAGCUGACAUAAUGAAUCAAUCCGCCCAGGCCCAGUUGCAACUGAGAAGACAAAGCCCAAACCCAUGAGCCUUGGGCUGUCUGGCCCCAGGAGAGAGGCCUCCUGAGCAGAUGCUUAGAAGAUGAAUAUAUUACUUUCAUGAGAUGUGGACGCCUCGCUCCCCUCGAACAUACCCUGGCACUGCCAGCUAGUUGGUGCCACUGUCACCUCUGUAAAGCUCAGGAAGAAAGGAAGACGGUGUUUACUACACUCCACGUGCCCCUGGGGGCUGUGAGCUGUAAAAUAUCGCCUCCUUAAUCCUCUGACCAUCACCUCUGAGGACAGGGUCAAGCAACUCCUUUCCGAGGUGGGGAAAUGCAUGCUGAGAGAGGCCGAGUAUCUUGUCACAAGUCACCCAGCUGGGGACAGUGGCACUGGAACCUGAACCUGAAUUCUCAGGCCCUGAAGUGUGUGCUAGCUCAUGCUUUGCUCCAUGUGAGGUCUGGAGUUUGCGGGGAACAGAACACUAGAUUCUCUGUGAUGGCUGACAGGGUUGGCAGCCAGGCUAGGAGGUCCUCUGCUGGCCCUGCCGGAUCUCACACUGCAGGCCGAGGAUGUCUAGAGACAAGGAGCCGCGGAGCGAGUUCAGAACGACACCAAGGGAGUCGAGAAAUCUGA
rnacentral:lncRNA from 1 species